GAAAUGCGAUAAGUAGUGUGAAUUGCAGAAUUCAGUGAAUCAUCGAAUCUUUGAACGCACAUUGCGCCCUUUGGUAUUCCAAAGGGCAUGCCUGUUCGAGCGUCAUUUGUACCCUCAAGCUUUGCUUGGUGUUGGGCGUCUUGUCUCUAGCUUUGCUGGAGACUCGCCUUAAAGUAAUUGGCAGCCGGCCUACUGGUUUCGGAGCGCAGCACAAGUCGCACUCUCUAUCAGCAAAGGUCUAGCAUCCAUUAAGCCUUUUUUUCAAAUUUUGACCUCGGAUCAGGUAGGGAUACCCGCUGAACUUAAGC
rnacentral:misc_RNA from 1 species